GAUGAACGCUGGCGGCGUGCCUAAUACAUGCAAGUCGAACGAAACUUCUUUAUCACCGAGUGCUUGCACUCACCGAUAAAGAGUUGAGUGGCGAACGGGUGAGUAACACGUGGGCAACCUGCCCAAAAGAGGGGGAUAACACUUGGAAACAGGUGCUAAUACCGCAUAACCAUAGUUACCGCAUGGUAACUAUGUAAAAGGUGGCUAUACUACCGCUUUUGGAUGGGCCCGCGGCGCAUUAGCUAGUUGGUAGGGUAAAGGCUUACCAAGGCAAUGAUGCGUAGCCGAAUUGAGAGGUUGAUCGGCCACAUUGGGACUGAGACACGGCCCAAACUCCUACGGGAGGCAGCAGUAGGGAAUCUUCCACAAUGGGCGAAGGCCUGAUGGAGCAACGCCGCGUGGGUGAAGAAGGUCUUCGGAUCGUAAAACCCUGUUGUUAGAGAAGAAAGUGCGUGAGAGUAACUGUUCACGUUUCGACGGUAUCUAACCAGAAAGCCACGGCUAACUACGUG
rnacentral:rRNA from 1 species